CAAUAGCGUAUAUUUAAGUUGCUGCAGUUAAAAAGCUCGUAGUUGGAUUUCGGGUGGGAAUGGCCGGUCCGCCGUUUCGGUGUGCACUUGCUACGCCCACCUUGCUGCCGGGGACGUGCUCUUGAGUUCACGCUCGGGACACGGAGUCGGCGAGGUUACUUUGAGUAAAUUAGAGUGUUCAAAGCAGGCCUACGCUCUGAAUACAUUAGCAUGGAAUAACACGAUAGGACUCUGGCCUAUCUUGUUGGUCUGUAGGACCGGAGUAAUGAUUAAGAGGGACAGUCGGGGGCACUCGUAUUUCAUUGUCAGGGGUGAAAUUCUUGGAUUUAUGAAAGACGAACUACUGCGAAAGCAUUUGCCAAGGAUGUUUUCAUUAA
rnacentral:rRNA from 1 species